CCCUAGCCCAGAUAGGAGUGGAAAUCCUUUUUAUUAGCCCUUCAAGGCUGAUAAAAAGAUUGUAACGUAUAGCUGGAAAUAGC
rnacentral:sRNA from 1 species